UACGGGGGGGGUAAGCGUUGUUCGGAAUUACUGGGCGUAAAGGGCUCGUAGGCGGCCAACUAAGUCAUACGUGAAAUCCCUCAGCUUAACUGGGGAACUGCGUGUGAUACUGGAUGGCUUGGAUUUGGGAGAGGGAUGCGGAAUUCCAGGUGUAGCGGUGAAAUGCGUAGAUAUCUGGAGGAACACCGGUGGCGAAGGCGGCAUCCUGGACCGGUAUUGACACUGAGGCGCGAAAGCCAGGGGAGCAAACGGG
rnacentral:rRNA from 1 species